CAGACUUUGGACUGGGAAAACAUUUUGUAUUGGUACAGUGAAACCAUCACAGCACAUACCAGAGUUACCAGGAAACAGCAGGGCUUACAGGCUGCUCUUACAGCCUAUUAGGAAAGAGCCUGCUAAAUAUUUGAUAUUUACAAGCUGUGCUGCUGAAAUGCCAGAGGCAUCUGAAGAAUCCAGCCCAGUUCUCACACCUCUCCUGCCCCAGCACAUGCUGACAGACGUGUGGAUGCUCUGCUCCCAUCCCUAGGCACGAAGAUGCUGCUCAGCCCCAUGUCCAAGGCACCCUGUGGCAGAACAGCUCUGCGUGGCUCCUUCCCAGUCUGGAUGUUGAAUACAAAUCUCUAGGUACAAAAAAGAACACAA